rnacentral:lncRNA from 1 species
GUCUUCCUUCCCCUUCACUCUUUGCUUCCUCCCUACAACCAAACAGAACAAAAUGGCUAUUGGAAUGAAUGCCUGGACUGUUUCUUCUCCCACCUGUAGACAUUACCACCUGGGUGGGUGGGGCCCCUUGUUCCUUUGCCUCCUUUCCCUAGCUCCCUACUGAAAGAACACAGGUGCAGUUACCGAUAGAUUAUUCAUUGGGAUGCACCGGCCAGUCCUUCAUUUACUAAAGUAGAACAGGUUCCUCAAGCAAGGCCUUAGCUGAGUUGGUGAGGGACUCAGCCUCUUUCUGGCAGCUCCACUGACUCAGGGAAGGCAUCUUGCUGCCUCGAUGCCUGGUUGGUAAUGGAGCCUGGAAAAUCCAUGCAUGUGCAGCUCAAGUUCUCCAACAGUCUGCUCUCUGUGGUACUUUGGGCUUGAGGGGCUUGACUGGAGAACCUGGACUAUUCCUGUGGAUGCCUUAGGGGAGAGCAAGACAAGGUGUAAAGCAUUUCCACUACUCCGGAAGGUUCCUGGGGGUUCCUGUUUCUAAUUGGCCUAGAUACCAUAUAGGCUCUUGGUGGUCCUAAAAUUAACAGAGGCCUCCAGUUUCAGAGAGAAUCACAACAAAACAGUGUGGUACUGGUGACCCCCAUCCCUAACAGAGGGUCACCAGCCACAGAGCAGAUUUCUUAAGCCUUCUUGGUCCCUUUCCAAACCACAGCAAGAGAACUAAGCUCUGAGAAGGGAGGGGCCGGCAGUAUCGGAGUCAGGUCCCAUCCCCCACACUAAAACCACACACAGACAUUCCAAGCCUACCCCAGGGAAGCAGAGAAGAGCUUUGAAUCCCUUCUGAUAUUAGUUUGGACAAAUUUUAAUAACUAAAAUGACCUUAGAGAUAUCAAAUCUGUCUAAUACUAAGAUGGAAAGGAUGAGUUGACAGAACGUGGUUGAAAGCAGUGCUUAAAAAAUAUAUCAAGCCAUUUUCUUAUAUUUCCUUCUUCACGUUGAGGCUCCUCAAAUAAACUGGUUGCUGAAAAUGUAUAGUAGUUUAGUUUCUGUAAAUUUUAAAUGUAGAGACUAAACAACACUACAGAGAGAAAAAGAAAUGGGCAAAAAGCUUCAACUUUUUCUAGUUCUCUCCCAGAGGGUGUUCCUUUUUAUGGAUAGAGACUAGGUGUUUUAUGUGGGGUCCUGACACCAGCAGUGCCCAAGCUGCAGGCUCUGAUCAGCCCCUCUGCCUCUCUAGUCUCAGCUUCCUUGUCCAUCAGAUGCCCCACAGUACUGGCCCCCCAGCUGCUCCCAAUUUUCCCUUGACUUGCUUGUGAAUGAUUCACAAGCUGAUCUUUUAUAGGGGCCAGAGCAGCUGAAACACAUGAAAUGUAGAUUAAACACAACUCAAAUAGUUACCCCACAUAAAACACCAGUUACAUAAGCAAAGAGAGUCUUUCACUCCAGGGUUUGUGUGUUACUCUGGAAGUCAGACUAAAUCUCUCCCAAAGUGGAGAUACUGGAUAGACAUUGAUGCUGCAGCAGGAGCCUGAUGUGGUGGCUGUGGGAUGGGUCACCUGGGCCCCCUGAAGUCUCCGCCCCCUUGAUGCUGGCAGCCAGCAGCUGGCUUUUCCACCGCAGCUCUUUUGCCAUCCCAGUAUUAAAGAAAGAGAGAGGAAAUACACCAAAUCUCCUAUUGAAGUAGAUACUUAUGGCUUCUUUUUCUUCCCCUUAAAAUGUUUCUAAAAAAUUAAAAAAUAACAAUAAAAAAGAAAGGAAGGAAGGAAGGAGAAAGAAACAAAGGAAAACAUUUUAGUUGCAGUUGAAAUGCCUCCCCAACCUCUCCCCAAAGCACUGCUGCAGUGGACACCCUUGUAUAUAUCUCCUUCUGCUCCUGUCUGCACGGCAUGCACCUGAAGAGAGAACUGAUUCCCUGAAGGUUAAUCCUUCUACUCAGAAUGUUCUGUGCUAUGUUGUGCUGCGUUUUAAUUCCACAAAGAACCCCGUGGGCACUGACCAGCCCGGCUCCCACUCUCCAGAGCACCUUACACAGGGCACCCACUCUUCCACUGCAUUAUCGUGCUGUUCUGGAGAGAACAAUUCGGUCUUUGUUGUGCUGCUGAGGAUCCCCGGCCAGGCCCCGUGAGUGGAUGCAGGUUUCUAGAGAAUUGGGCACCCGUGGGCACCAUGGUGACUGUCCUCUCCUUUCAAGACGCCUGUGGAUUUCAGCAGCUUUCCUUAAUGAGUCGGCUCUUCAGAAAAGUUCUGAAUUUGUUUGAUGUCCUGAAGCACUUGUGGUUCUUUGUCUAAAAAUGUAGACAUUCUCUAAGCAUGCUUUUCAUCCCGUGAAUGAAUCUCUUUCUGUGUCCUGGCCUCUAACACCCUAAAGUUCAGAGGCAUACAAGUAAAAAGGGGCAUUUGUACGAGAAAACGAAGAUUUCAGGACACAGAGUUUUUUGACUGUUGGUGACCUUUCGUGACAUUUUCCCUCAACAUAUUACCAUUUGUUCAUCCACUUAUUCACGCAGUCACAGACAUUAAUUAAACCACAACUAUAUGCAAGAGACUUUGCUGGGCACUGUGUGGGACGCAGGGGUCCCUGGGAGGGAGCAGACCAGAGUGGCUGAGAGCUCGAGUUUGGGAAUCAGAACACUUGUUGGCUUUGCCUCUUCUGGGCUGGGUGAUCUUGAGCAAAUCACUUAAUCUCCCUCUCUCGGAUUCCACAUCUGAAACAUCAGAAUCUACUUUAUAGGGUUAUUGUGAGAAUUUAUUGAGAUUUGCUGGCCAAGCAUCUUCUAAUCACUCAUUCGAUAUUCACUUAAAAAAGAGAGCAACUUGUAGUCUAGAAUGGAAACAAGACAUUUAUGCAGAUAAUUAUAUCAUAUGUGGUAAAGAACAGUAAACGCCAUGAGAAUUAAAAAGGAGGGUGGAUUAACAGAGGAAGUAGCAGUAGCUAAUCUAACAAAAAAGCCCCAAGCCUGUGGUUUAAUGCAACAGGUAUGGCUUUUUGGGUACCUCUCUUCCAAGUAACUCAGAGAUCCUAGCUCCUUCCAUCUUGAGGCCUUCUAGAGCUUCAGAAUCAUUCACUUCGACGUACAUGAGGGGGAAAAAAGAUAGUGUGUGUGAAAUAUUGCUUGGGAUGUUUUGUAGCUAGGCCUGUAUAUUAGUUAUCUAUUGUAGUGUAACAAAUGGCCCCAAACUUAGCAGCUUAAAACAGCCCAUCGUUUCUGUGGGUCAGGAAUCUUAGAGUGGCUUAGCUGGGUGGUUGUAGCUUUGGGUCUCUCAUGAGCCUGCAAUCAAGAUUUGGCUGGGCUGCAGUCAUCUGAAGGCUUGAGUGAGGUUGGAAGAUCCUCUUCCAAGAAGGCUCACCCACAUGGCUAUUGGCAGAAGGUCUCAGUUCUUUGCUGGCUGUUGGCAGGAGACCUUGGUUCCUUGCCAUGUGGACCUCUCCAUUGGGAUGUUUGAGUGUCCUUACAACAUGGCAGCCAGCAUCCCCCAGAACCAGUGAUCUAAGAGAGAGGGAGAGCAAGGAGGAAGCUCUAAUGCCUUUUAAUUUGUAGUCUCAGAAAUCACAUGCAGCCACUCCCACUGUAUUUGUUCAUUAGAAGAGAAUGACUAAGUCUAACCCACACUCAAGGGGAGAGGAAUUAAGCUCCAAUUCUUGAAAGGAGGAGUAUCAAAGAAUUUGUGGACCAAAUGUAUAUUGAACACAGAGCUCCUGAGACCCUUGGAAUUUCCUAAGUGAUAAGAGCAGAUAAAGGUGAAAGGAUUUGAUUAUUUAUAAGAAGCCCUUUUCAACCACACCUGAGUUUAUUUUAAUGAGAUGACUUUUGGAAAGUCCCUGAGGAUGGGAGGCUGGUUGCCAGGGGAACCAACCAUGUGAUUAAAGGGUUGGAACUCUCAGCCCCACUCCCUGCAACCUCCAGUGAGGGAAGAGGGACUGAGGUUGAGUUAAUCACCAAUCAUGCCUACAUGAUGACAUCUCCAUAAAGAUCCCUCAAGAAUGGGGUUCAGAGAGCUUCCUGGUUGGUGAAUGCGUCCGCGUGCCAGGACCGCGGUACACCCCAAAUCCACAGGGACAGAGGCUCUCAUGCUUGGCACCCUCCACACCUCGACCUUUUAUCUCUUCAUCUGGCUGUUCAUCUAUAUCCUUUAUCAUCUUCUUUGUAAUAUAAUAAACUGGUAAAUGUAAGUAAAUGUUUCCCUGAAUUCUAUGAGCCAUUCUAGUAAAUUAUCGAAC